rnacentral:tRNA from 2 species
GCGGACGUGGUGGAAUGGUAGACACGCACGCUUGAGGGGCGUGUGGCGCAAGCCGUGGGGGUUCAAGUCCCCCCGUCCGCACCA